AUUGAACGCUGGCGGCAGGCCUAACACAUGCAAGUCGAGCGGAGCGGCGGACGGGUGAGUAAUGCCUAGGAAUCUGCCUGGUAGUGGGGGAUAACGUCCGGAAACGGGCGCCAAUACCGCAUACUAUCAGAUGAGCAUAGGUCGGAUUAGCUAGUUGGUGGGGUAAAGGCCUACCAAGGCGACGACCCGUAACUGGCAUGAGAGGAUGACCAGCCACACUGGAACUGAGCCAGGGUCGAGACUCCUACGGGCGGCACCAGUGGGGAAUGUUGCACAAUGGGCACAGGCCGAAUACAGCCAUGCCGCGUGUGUGAAGAGGGCCUUCGGGUGUUAAAGCACUUUCAGCGGGGAGGCGUUACCCGCAGAAGAAGCACCGGCUAACUCCGUGCCAGCAGCCGCGGUAAUUC
rnacentral:rRNA from 1 species